CGAUUGUAAGGCAUGAUCUUUUGUUAAGGUUUGUAUCAGGCCUAUUUAUUUAUUUAUAGGCCUGAUCGCAGAUUACUUUGAAGAUGUCAUUAAAUUGAUAAUUGGGUCAAAAACUGACUUAAUAUUUGUGUAUAUGAAAUUGUUGUUAAAUUCUACAUGUCCAAUGAUUCAUUCAAGUAUUAUUAUUGUUUAUAUAUAAUAUGAUAUUGUACAGUAUUCAGUUGCAAGCUAG